UAUGCCCCCUCCCCUCCACCCCCGCCGCGACGCUGCUACUGCCGGAGACGCCCAUCUCCAGUGACCUCACCAGUAAGUCCACACACUUCUCUCUCUUCCGACGCCCUCUCUUGCUCCCCCUUACCCCCUUUUUUUGUGUGUGGGGUAUUUUGUUGUAGUUUGUAGGUACUAGAGGCAGCAUACGAGGCAAGCUUGCGGCAUUUGGAAGUGAGGAGCAAACCCACAUCGGCCAAAACGUGUAGGAGUUGGCGGUAGUUGACCCCGGGCGCAUCAAAGCUUACUUUCAUGUUUUUUCACCGGGAGGAGAUACCAACUCCCGAUCUCUUGUUUACUCUGUACACCAUUUUAUGUAUCCUAGCUAGCAUCUUGUAUGGUCUUUUGCUUUCACCAUUGUUUUUCACUGCUUUCUUUACUGUUGCUCUCAUUCUACCAAAUUUUCAUCUUGUAAACACUUAGCUAGUUUACUUGAAGUGAUCUUUGAGAUUUUUGCGCUUCUUGAUUUGUCGAUCAGGUUAGUGUUUUCUCCCGUGGCGGAUCUAAUAACUUAAAUUUAGUGGAUUUGGAGUA
rnacentral:lncRNA from 1 species